GAUGAACGCUAGCGGCAGGCUUAACACAUGCAAGUCGAGGGGCAGCGUGACGGUUAGCUAAUAACUGUUGACGGCGACCGGCGCAAGGGUGCGUAACGCGUGAGCAACUUGCCCGUUUCUGGAGGAUAACCGGUGGAAACGCCGGACUAAUACUCCAUAGCAUACUACGAGAGGCAUCUUUUGUAUAUUAAAGAAUUUUGGAAACGGAUAGGCUCGCGUGACAUUAGCUAGAUGGCGGGGUAACGGCCCACCAAGGCGACGAUGUCCUAGGGGGUUCUGAGAGGGAAGGUCCCCCCACACUGGGAACCUGAGACACGGUCCAGACUCCUACGGGAGGCA
rnacentral:rRNA from 1 species